GAUACAUCAGGAUUCAAACUAACAAUUCCAUCUCAAUAACACAAGAGAAAACAAAAUGAUAAGAACUCUGACCAAAUGUACUGUAGUCUUGAUCAAGAAAAUAAAUGAUAGGAAUCGAAACAAAACAGCAACCACAUGAAAGAGAAUAAAUAGCAACGUUAACACUCAGUGGUGAGUGUGCUGGAGGGCUUGCCUAGAGCACCCAGGUCCAUCACUGCUGCACCCAAACAAAGUGCGCUUCUGCAUGACGUGUGUAUAUCCCAGCAAAUUUAUCCGCCUGGGCUCCCUCCCACACACUUUUACCUGAAAAAUUGUUUUUCCUGGAAGUUCAACCAGAGGCAAUAAAAUUCCAUACAAGGAUUGCUGGCUAUGGAUGUUUCAUAUUAAUCACCAAUGCACCAUCUUGAACUAUUGGAAUGGGCAGAGUAAAAUCUGCUGGAAACAAAAUUGUCAUUAGGAGAUAAAACUCUCCUGGCCCCCUCCACCUCUACAACAAGUAAACAAAAAAAAGAAAGAAAACUAACGCAAAUUUG
rnacentral:lncRNA from 1 species